CCUGAUGCAGACCCAGUGUAAGAACAUGCUGGCACUGUUUCGUGUGUUUAGGCUAUGACAGGUUUGACACAGUAUUUGCUUUUAGUGAUAUUUAAUCUAAUCUAAAUCUCAUCAUGUUUUUAAACAGUGUUGGGUAGCCACCCAUGCACGUUGACACAGCCCCCAGCAGUGGGCACUCAUGGGGAUGGACCCAGGAGUGGAGGAUGACCCAAAAGUGGUGGGUAGCCACCCAUGCACGUUGACACAGCCAGCAGCGAGUACCCAGGGCGAUGGACCCAGAAGUGGAGGAUGAUCCAAUAGGAGUGCUGGAGCGAUAGGGGGCCAAUCAUCUCUAAUUGAGACCCUUAUAAAGACUCUGGGCGGCUCCGACUAACUCUCUCUCUUGAAUCUGGCUUCUUCAGACGACAGCCCUGACGGCCACACUGAGAAUGCAGACGAUGGUGGUGGAAUUAAUAACCUGGAUCAGGAGUCCUCUGACAGCAGAUCUGAAUGGGCACCUGAUGGUGAAGACAUUACAUGUGAGGAAAAGACACAUACUAGAGGGAGUCGAGGACUUGGCUGGCCUACAAAAUGUCACUAAGGGAUGCAACUGACAGCUGAAGUAGGAUCUUUUUUGUUUUUUGGCCAUGACAAUGCUUUGACAGUUGAUAAUAAACUGAUAAUUACGAUA